rnacentral:tRNA from 1 species
GGGCCGGUAGCUCAGUUGGAAGAGCGGCGGAGUGAAAUCCCGCAGGUCGCAGGUUCGAGUCCUGCCUGGCCCACGU